rnacentral:lncRNA from 1 species
GCUAGGGUGGCAGUUUCAGUUUCCCAUAUGGUCUCCAGUGACACUGCAGUGGGAGUGGUCUUCUCACCUCUGGGCAAUGGGAAAAGUCCCGACUUUCCACUAGGCCUCCUUUGAUACUAGCCAACUAGGAGAAGGAGUAAGUAACACCGUAUUACUUCCUGUAUGGGUGGAAAUCUAGGCUCUCUAGGUGGUCUCCGCUGACACCAUUAUCAUGGCUCCCUACUUGUCUACAUAGCCUUUGACUCUACCCCAGUUAGGGUGUUGAGAUGCCACCUUGUAGC